GCGACCGAGCUCCUGCUGAGGUAGUAGGUUGUAUAGUUCGGAAUAAUACCAACUGUAUCAAUUGGUGAAACUGUACAACCUGUCUAGCUUGCCAGGCAUCGCCCAGUUGCG
rnacentral:pre_miRNA from 1 species